UACGUAGGGUGCGAGCGUUGUCCGGAUUUAUUGGGCGUAAAGAGCUCGUAGGCGGUUUGUCGCGUCGGCCGUGAAAUCUCCACGCUUAACGUGGAGCGUGCGGUCGAUACGGGCAGACUUGAGUUCGGUAGGGGAGACUGGAAUUCCUGGUGUAGCGGUGAAAUGCGCAGAUAUCAGGAGGAACACCGGUGGCGAAGGCGGGUCUCUGGGACGGUACUGACGCUGAGACGCGAAAGCGUGGGGAGCAAACAGG
rnacentral:rRNA from 1 species